rnacentral:tRNA from 1 species
GCCGGGGUGGCGGAAUCGGUAGACGCAGCGGACUCAAAAUCCGCCGCUGGUAACAGCGUGAGGGUUCGAGUCCCUCUCCCGGCACCA